ACUGGGCGUAAAGCGUGCGUAGGCGGUUCGUUAAGUCAGAUGUGAAAGCCCUGGGCUCAACCUGGGAACUGCAUUUGAAACUGGCGGACUAGAGUUUAGUAGAGGGGAGUGGAAUUUCAGGUGUAGCGGUGAAAUGCGUAGAUAUCUGAAGGAACACCAGUGGCGAAGGCGACUCCCUGGACUAGAACUGACGCUGAGGUACGAAAGCGUGGGUAGCAAACAGGAUUAGAUACCCUGGUAGUCCACGCCGUAAACGAUGUCGACUAGCCGUUGGCCCUAUUUACAGCCUUAGUGGCGCAGCUAACGCAUUAAGUCGACCGCCUGGGGAGUACGGCCGCAAGGUUAAAACUCAAAUGAAUUGACGGGGGCCCGCACAAGCGGUGGAGCAUGUGGUUUAAUUCGAUGCAACGCGAAGAACCUUACCUACCCUUGACAUCCAGAGAAUCUGUUAGAGAUAGUAGAGUGCCUUCGGGAGCUCUGAGACAGGUGCUGCAUGGCUGUCGUCAGCUCGUGUCGUGAGAUGUUGGGUUAAGUCCCGUAACGAGCGCAACCCUUGUCCUUAGUUGCCAGCGGGUAAUGCCGGGAACUCUAGGGAGACUGCCGGUGAUAAGCCGCGAGGAAGGUGUGGAUGACGUCAAGUCCUCAUGGCCCUUACGGGAUGGGCUACACACGUGCUACAAUGGCGGUGACAGUGGGACGCGAAACCGCGAGGUUGAGCAAAUCCCCAAAAACCGUCUCAGUUCAGAUUGCACUCUGCAACUCGAGUGCAUGAAGGCGGAAUCGCUAGUAA
rnacentral:rRNA from 1 species